rnacentral:rRNA from 1 species
UAGUGAGUUUGAUCCUGGCUCAGGGUGAACGCUGGCGGCGUGCCUAAGACAUGCAAGUCGAACGGUUGUAGCAAUACAGCAGUGGCAGACGGGUGAGUAACACGUGGGAACCUUCCUAGGGGUACGGAACAACUCAGGGAAACUUGAGCUAAUACCGUAUACGUCCGUGAGGAGAAAGAUUUAUCGCCCUUAGACGGGCCCGCGUCGGAUUAGGUAGUUGGUGGGGUAAACGGCU